rnacentral:rRNA from 1 species
CAGGGACAGCGGAGGGACAUUACCGAGUUAUACAACUCAUCAACCCUGUGAACAUACCUAAACGUUGCUUCGGCGGGAACAGACGGCCCCGUAACACGGGCCGCCCCCCGCCCAGAGGACCCCCUAACUCUGUUUCUAUAAUGUUUCUUCUGAGUAAAACAAGCAAAUAAAUUAAAACUUUCAACAACGGAUCUCUUGGCUCUGGCAUCGAUGAAGAACGCAGCGAAAUGCGAUAAGUAAUGUGAAUUGCAGAAUUCAGUGAAUCAUCGAAUCUUUGAACGCACAUUGCGCCCGCCAGUAUUCUGGCGGGCAUGCCUGUUCGAGCGUCAUUACAACCCUCAGGCCCCCGGGCCUGGCGUUGGGGAUCGGCGGAGCCCCCCGCGGGCACACGCCGUCCCCCAAAUACAGUGGCGGUCCCGCCGCAGCUUCCAUUGCGUAGUAGCUAACACCUCGCAACUGGAGAGCGGCGCGGCCACGCCGUAAAACCCCCAACUUCUGAACGUUGACCUCGAAUCAGGUAGGAAUACCCGCUGAACUUAAGCAUAUCAAUAAGCGGAGGAAAAGAAACCAACAGGGAUUGCCCUAGUAACGGCGAGUGAAGCGGCAACAGCUCAAAUUUGAAAUCUGGCUCUCGGGCCCGAGUUGUAAUUUGUAGAGGAUGCUUUUGGUGAGGUGCCUUCCGAGUUCCCUGGAACGGGACGCCACAGAGGGUGAGAGCCCCGUCUGGUUGGACACCGAUCCUCUGUAAAGCUCCUUCGACGAGUCGAGUAGUUUGGGAAUGCUGCUCUAAAUGGGAGGUAUAUGUCUUCUAAAGCUAAAUACCGGCCAGAGACCGAUAGCGCACAAGUAGAGUGAUCGAAAGAUGAAAAGAACUUUGAAAAGAGAGUUAAAAAGUACGUGAAAUUGUUGAAAGGGAAGCGCUUGUGACCAGACUUGGGCUUGGUUGAUCAUCCAGGGUUCUCCCUGGUGCACUCUUCCGGCCCAGGCCAGCAUCAGUUCGCCCCGGGGGAAAAAGGCUUCGGGAAUGUGGCUCUCUCCGGGGAGUGUUAUAGCCCGUUGCGUAAUACCCUGUGGCGGACUGAGGUUCGCGCAUCGCAAGGAUUCUGGUCA